CAUAAGAUACUGCAAUGUUGGUAUGCAUGCUAACUUCUGUAUGUUUUGUAUCAGCCAUGUUGCAUUGUAUCAGCUAUAUAAACAGUUCAUGAGGAAUGCCAAUGGGGCUGUCAUAUGUAUUUUAUAUUGUUUUAAUCUUCACCAAUUUACUUCGUUAGUUGCAAAAGGUAUCAUGAGAUUUAAUUGAUGAUACUCAUCAUAAGACUAAAGAGUAGAUGUGAUACAUAGUUGUAGUACACGUGUAGUCAGACUGCAUAUUUACACAAGUUUUUUUUUGGUUACUUGCAAAAUACUCUCUAUAAGCAAUUUGUUUAAUGUGGCCCUGUUUGGCAAUUGUAGCAUGUUAUGUGUAGGCAUAUGGGUAAUACUGAUAAUAUUACAUAUAAAUUCAUUUACUAUAAACUAACCAUCAGGGGUGCUUUACAUGUCAUGACACAUUGACAUCUUACAAGCAUAAUUUGUCCAAACAAUUGUAGUAGCUCGGCAUUCGGGUUUUGCACAGUAGCUUUGCAAGCAUAUUACUACUCAUGAAAGAAUCUACGAAAGCCGCUGAAGUACGUACGAGUAGAUCGGUGCAACUUCGCCCACAUCCUUUUUUCUUGAUAAGGCAUGGUCGAGGUGGUGGUGAGAUCUGGAGCUCCUGCCACGUGCUCGCUUGCUUCAGAAUAAUCCUGCCAGGGGCACCAUUUUUCUUCCUCCCAAGAAACAUAUCUGAUCCUGGAGAAUUCUUCCAGAAGCAGCAAUGUUCCACAGGGAUAUGAUAUCUCUCUCCACCACCUGUGCUCUGCAGCAGCAGCUGCUAUGUUUAUCUUCAUUGUUUACUUCAAGUCUGCAAUGCCUGUUGUUAACUCUUAUAACUAGAUUCAUUUGCUGCUCUUGGAACGAAAGGAGAAGAGAAGGACAGCCUGAGAUUCCAAUCCGAAUUAAUUUGACUUUAGAAUGAGACCCUGGAAAAUGAAUGGCUUCAAUGGUGGGUGCAUGUAUGGUCAGGGGAUUGUUUGGUCCAUGCAUGGAAGUGGACUGAUUAGCCCCAUUAUGAGAAGGCUGUGAGACUUUUCAAUGAUCCAGAUGUUGCACAUCCUGGGAGAAUAUUGAUGGCUAGGGUUGAUUGUGCAUCAGAGGACAGGUUGUGUGCUUAGGGAGGCGGCAAGGCCCAAGGAAUCUUGCGCAUAAAACAAUAUAAUGACCAAGAAGAGCAUGUGAGGGACCAGUAGGUGUUUAUCCCGAGUGAUUUCAGUGUUUGUCAAGUCUCAUUAAGCUUGCCACCUUGCUUUUUCUUGAGCACAUAGCAACUGAAGAAGAGAUGAAGGCAACUGAACAACGUGCUCGCAAAGUGAAGGGUUCUUGCAAGAAGAAAGAAUCGUUGUCAUCUUAUUUUCAUGAUGGCAUGGUGUCUCGACAUGUGAUGGAUUCACUCACACGGAGGAAGCUUUUCUCCGCUACUCCGGCGACAAGCGCACAAGCUUUUGGGUCCAUGGCGCCACCGGUAAACAAGAACAACUCUGGGUGCUUGAUUGUGUCUCUGGAGUCUGGAUAAGUGAAAAUAGAUGGCAGCGAAGUUGAACUGGUUUUGCAAACACUAGCAAGUAUUUCUUCAUCGCUUCCAUCGUGCAAUUGAUUCUGCGCAGGUUGCGCUAGCAUUGCGGGCAUUUUUCUUCAUAUUUGUGAAGAGGGGAUGAGGUUGAAAAAUGAAGCUGGUGAUGAAAAGAAUGGAGGGCACCCGCAAAGUGAUGACGAGGAAGGAGCCCUGCAGGAGACAGCUUUCAGAGCUUGAAGAAGAUGGUCUCACAUCCACGUUGAUCUAUGAAAAUAGCAAGCGACGGCGGCGAUGGACUGGUCACCCCGCAACACCAUUCUUCCUUCACGGUAACUAGCCACGGCAAGUGCUUCUGUCAUUUCUUUCGUGUUGAGAAGGCAGAGUCAAGGGCGCGAACAUGAGGUAUUCUGUGACUUUCUUCGGAGAGGCACGAAAGUGCAAAGGUCGUGAUGUGUAACGAUUUAAUCAAGGAGACAACCCAGUCGAGCUAUCAAGUAUUAGGCUACCUAACUAAGAAGUUUUAUUAUCUCGCAUUGCAUCUUGCUUGAUCAACACAUGCCAUGACCUGGUUAUUGUAUUUGUUAUAUUACAAUGGAUAGUCUUGGCUUGCUUUUGGACUAAAGCCUUUUGGUCUAUGUAUAGCUUGAUUUUGGACUUUAGCCUUUUGUUGUUUCGUGAACCCAUUGCUAUGUGCUGAAUGUGUAUGUAUCGAUGCAAUGAUUCUGAUAUAAAAUUAAUAUACUCCCUCUGUUUC